UUGAAUUGGUCCGAAACUGAGGCGAUGAUUAUUAUCAACCUUGGUGUGGUGGUGGUGGAGGCAUAGACAUGUGAUGGUGUUGGUAUGGUGGUUGUUGUUGUUGUGGUGGUCCACCUUGCUGCUGCAUGUGUUGCGGUGGCCAUCCUCCAUGUUGGUGCAUUCCCAUGGCUUGAGGUGGUGGCGGCGGCCUCGGACCACCGAAACCUUGUUGGUGAUUUAGAAACUGAGGAGGUGGUGGCGGAGGCAUACCCUGAGGUGGACGGAAUUGCAUGGGUGGUGGGACCAUGCUGUGUUGUUGUGGCUGAGAUGGCCAGGAUGGUGGCUGAGUUUGAUAUACUUGUGGAGGAGGUGGUGGUGGUUG
rnacentral:lncRNA from 1 species